rnacentral:rRNA from 1 species
UACGUAGGGGGCGAGCGUUGUCCGGAAUUACUGGGCGUAAAGGGCGCGUAGGCGGCCGCUUAAGUGAGGGGUGAAAGUCCACGGCUCAACCGUGGGAUUGCCUUUCAAACUGGGCGGCUGGAGUGCAGGAGAGGGAAGCGGAAUUCCCGGUGUAGCGGUGAAAUGCGUAGAGAUCGGGAGGAACACCAGUGGCGAAGGCGGCUUCCUGGACUGUAACUGACGCUGAGGCGCGAAAGCUGGGGGAGCAAACAGG